GGUCAGUAGGUCGGUCGUGCCAACGGUAUGAACUGGCCUCACUGAUUCCUCCCUCUUGUAGAACCGUGAUGCCAUUAACUUGGUGUUGCGGGGAAACAGGACUGUUACUUUGAAAAAAUUAGAGUGUUUAAAGCAGGCUAACGCUUGAAUACAUUAGCAUGGAAUAAUGAAAUAGGACGUCGAUCUUAUUUUGUUGGUUUCUAGGGUUGACGU
rnacentral:rRNA from 1 species